rnacentral:rRNA from 1 species
GUGAAGAAGGCCUUCGGUUGUAAAGCUCUUUCGGACGGAACGAAAUUGCUUGGACUAAUACUCUGAGUAGAUGACGGUACCGUAAGAAGAAGCACCGGCUAACUACGUGCCAGCAGCCGCGGUAAUACGUAGGGUGCGAGCGUUAAUCGGAAUUACUGGGCGUAAAGCGUGCGCAGGCGGUUGCCUAAGCCAGGCGUGAAAUCCCCGGGCUUAACCUGGGAAUGGCGCUUGGGACUGGGCAGCUAGAGUGCGGCAGAGGGAGGUGGGAAUUCCACGUGUAGCAGUGAAAUGCGUAGAUAUGUGGAGGAACACCAAUGGCGAAGGCAGCCUCCCUGGGCCGGCACUGACGCUCAUGCACGAAAGCGUGGGGAGCAAACAGGAUUAGAUACCCCUGGUAGUCCACGCCCUAAACGAUGUCGACUAGUUGUU